rnacentral:rRNA from 1 species
CAGCAGCCGCGGUAAUACGAAGGGGGCUAGCGUUGCUCGGAAUGACUGGGCGUAAAGGGCGCGUAGGCGGCGGCCAAAGUCAGGCGUGAAAUUCCCGGGCUCAACCUGGGGGCUGCGUUUGAUACUUGGUUGCUUGAGUGGGGAAGAGGGUCGUGGAAUUCCCAGUGUAGAGGUGAAAUUCGUAGAUAUUGGGAAGAACACCGGUGGCGAAGGCGGCGACCUGGUCCUUUACUGACGCUGAGGCGCGAAAGCGUGGGGAGCAAACAGGAUUAGAUACCCCAGUAGUCCCUGUCUCUUAUAC